rnacentral:rRNA from 1 species
UACGGAGGAUGCAAGCGUUGUCCGGAUUUAUUGGGUUUAAAGGGUGCGUAGGCGGAUAAUUAAGUCAGUGGUGAAAGCCGGCAGCUCAACUGUCGAACUGCCAUUGAAACUGAUUGUCUUGAGUAUGGUUGAAGUGGGCGGAAUGUAUCAUGUAGCGGUGAAAUGCUUAGAUAUGAUACAGAACACCAAUUGCGAAGGCAGCUCACUAAGCCAUUACUGACGCUGAGGCACGAAAGCGUGGGGAUCAAACAGG